GACGCGGUGGCCUAAUAGUUAGUGCGUUGGAUUCCGGUUAGAGCGAUCCGGGUUCGAGCCCUGGCUGGGGUCA